rnacentral:rRNA from 1 species
CACCGCCCGUCACACCAUGGGAGUUGGUUUCACCCGAAGGCAGUGCGCUAACCGCAAGGAGGCAGCUGACCACGGUGGAAUCAGCGACUGGGGUG